rnacentral:rRNA from 1 species
AGUGAACGCUGGCGGUAGGCCUAACACAUGCAAGUCGAACGGCAGCACAGUAAGAGCUUGCUCUUACGGGUGGCGAGUGGCGGACGGGUAAGGAAUACAUCGGAAUCUACUUUUUCGUGGGGGAUAACGUAGGGAAACUUACGCUAAUACCGCAUACGACCUACGGGUGAAAGCAGGGGAUCUUCGGACCUUGCGCGAUUGAAUGAGCCGAUGUCGGAUUAGCUAGUUGGCGGGGUAAAGGCCCACCAAGGCGACGAUCCGUAGCUGGUCUGAGAGGAUGAGCGGCCACAGGGAAACUGGAACAGGGACCAGCCUCCGACGGAUGCAGGCGGAGGGAAAUGUGGGACAAGGGGCGCGAGCCUGAUCCCGCCUUAGCGGGGGGGGGAAAGGGGCCUUGGGUUUGUAAGGCUGUUUUUUGGGGAAAAAAGAGCAGGGGGUUACUACCCGGGGUUUUUGACGUUACCAAAAGAAAAAGCGCCGGCUAACUUCGUG